UCCUAGGAGACAAAAGAUAAAAGAAGGGGUUGAGUUUUUGGUGGACAGGUCAGCACCGAGGACAGAAGCCUUACUGCUCAUCUUUCAGAGCCCUGGAUAUCAACGGUUUUUAAAAAUUUCAUUUUCCUACCUGAAAAGCCUUGUGCGCCCUCUAGGGGGCCUCCAGUUCGGACCCUCCCCCUUCUCUCUCUUCUCUGUCUUACCUCCCUCCAAACCCACCAUUUUCCUACAGUUCCAUCCCCAGGCUUCUGCAGUCACCAAAAUGGAGGAUGGGGGACAGGGGAUGACGUAGAUGGGAGGGGGUCUCAAACUCGGCUCUGCACCCGACCCCCACUCUGUCCCCCGCACCGACCUGGGCCUAUCCUUGCUGUCUCCUCCUUCUCCCGAUUCUCGCCGUGUGGGCGCCGCCGCGACACUUGACACCUAGGCCUGCAGUCCUGCAAAGGGCCAGCGUGGAGGGAGUGGGGGGUGUUGCGAAGCGUUUGGCGCCGACCUGCCACCACCUGGUUCCUUCCGGGUCCCGGGCCCCCCUGGCCGCCCCCUAAUCCCCAUCUCCGGCUCUCAACCCUAACGUCCCCCCACCCCGCCCGGGAGGUUCACUAUUUUCCUGCAGGAACUGGGGGUGAUUUCCAAUCGCUCUUAGUUGCUCUGCUGCUCUCUGGCCGUCCCAGCACCCCCACCCCAGGGGGCCACUAUGGAUGUUCCCAAGAAUGCCGAGGGUGGAGAAAGCUGGCCCGGACCCGCUGCGCUGAUCCUAGGAGCCGGCCCCGGAGCCCUUACCUGCUCCGCUUUCCUCGGGACUGAUGCCAGCCCGCCGGGCGCAGAACAGCUGGGAGCAGGUACCCAGACGGGAGUGACGACUGCACCGAAGGCUGAGUUGCUCUGCAGCUCCACGUCACGUGGAAGACUCCGUGGGACAUUCCUGCUAUCUUUAACCUGGGUUAGGAAGUGCAGACUGCUGGGAUCCUCAUCCUAUCCUCCCCACCUCCAGAGCACUCAGGAAGAACCAGGCCUUGCUGUAGGGUCACUAUUUGCCAGUCUAUACUCACCCUGGUACUCCCUCAUUUAUGCCAGGGUCCAAGGAACACUGACUACUGACCAUCCUGAGUAAACUUGUUAUUUUCAACACAGAAGUCUGUGGAACAGAUAUUGAAAUAUUAUCUGUAUAUGUGAGAAGGUGGUAAUAUAUUCACAUUUCUAUCAGGGAAAGGGGCCAAACUUCUUAGCUGAUUCUCAAAGAGGCCAUGAUUCAUCACCUCUAAAAAAGUUUUAAAAUCUUAGGACUACCAGGUGGCUCAGUGCUUGAGCAUCUGCCUUAGGCUCAGGGCAUGAUCCCGGGGUCCUAGGAUGAGUCCCCCAUCGGGCUCCUGCAUGGAGCCUGCUUCUCCCUCUGCCUAUGUCUCUGCCUUUCUUUCUGUGUCUCUCAUGAACAAAUAAAUAAAAUCAUUAAUUCUUUUUUAAAUCUCUAUAUAUGCUGUCUCACUCUCUUUCUAGCUCUUGACUUUCACCUUAGACCUGCUUCUUUUUCAAUUGUUUUCUGCCUUAGUAUCCACCCAUUGGCAAACCCAGAAUCUGGGCAUUAUCCUUGAAUCCCUGAUCAUUGUUCCUCAUGUUCAAUUAAUAAUCACAUCUGGCUAAGACUCUCAUAUCUUUUUAAAACAGCAGUAUGGAACUAUAGUUUACAUACCAUAAGAUCUGCCAACUUAAAGUGUACACUUUAAUGGUUUCUAAUAUACUUAAAGAAAUGUACAUUCCUCACCAUAGUCAAUUUUAAGACAUUUCAGUACAUCAAAAAGAAACUCAAAAAGUACACCUUCACUAAUCACUCCCCAUUCCACAAUUCUCUUCAAGUCAAGGCACCAUUAACAUAAUAUGUCUCUAUAGAUUUCCCUAUUCUGGAUAUUUCACAUAAAUGAAAUCAUACAAUAUGUGUUCUUUUGGGAUUGACUUCUUCAUUUAGCACAAUGUGUUCAGAGUUCAUGGCAACAAAACAAUUAAUCAUUUGAGGAACUUCUAAAUGUUUAUCCAAAGUGGUUGAUCAUUUUAAACUUUCUUACCAGCAGUAUAUGAAGAUUCUGUUAUCUCUACAUCCUCAUCAACAUUUGUUAUUUUCUGAAAGUUUGCUUCUAGUCAUAUUAGUGAAGAUGAAGUAGUAUCUCAUGAUAGUUUUGAUUGGCAUUUCCUAGAUAAUUAAUGAUGUUGAACAUCUUUUCAUGUUAUAGUUCUGCUCCCAUUCCAAUGUGUGUGUUUUGUUGCCAAACCACCAAGCAAUUCUCUGGUAUCACCUGAGUUAAUUCAAUUCUGACACUAUCUAUUUGGAGAUAGUAUCAGAUUCUACAGCUUAAGGGCUCAAUCCCGCAAGAUUGCCCUCCACUUCAGAUGCCAAUAACAAGUUCAAGUUAUUACCUGUGCUCCCUCCUUAGGUUUGAUUAAUAUGUUGGACAGGCUCACAGAACUCCAGAAACCAGUUUACUCACUAGAUUACUCAUUUAUCACAAAGUAUAUAAAUCAAUAGGCAAAUGAAAUACAUAGUGUGAGAUCUUGAACAAAGGAGCUUCUGUCACCAUGGAGUUUUCAACCCUGCACAGCAGCAUGUGGUUCACUAACUUGGAAACUCUCUGAAUCCCAUCCUUUUUGAGUUUUUAUGAGGCUUCAUUACACAGAUAUGAUUGAUUAAAUCAUUGGUUAUUGAGGAUUGAUUCAAUCUUUCCUGCACAUCUCCCCUCCUUGGAAAUCCAGGGAGUGGGACAGAAAGUUCCAGCCCUCCAAUCAUGGUUGUUUCUCCUGGCAAGCAGCCUCAUAUCUUUAGGGGAUUUCCAAAAGUCACCUUAUUAAUAAACUCAGUUGUAGUUGAAAGGGACUUGUUAUAAGUAACAAUGACACUCAUUUUAGUUUUUUGGCUCUGAAGUGACAAAAGACCAAAUAUUAUAACAAAAGACACACUUUUAUUGCUCGUAUCUCUU
rnacentral:lncRNA from 1 species